rnacentral:rRNA from 1 species
CCUACGGGGGGCAGCAGUGGGGAAUAUUGCACAAUGGGCGCAAGCCUGAUGCAGCCAUGCCGCGUGUGUGAAGAAGGCCUUCGGGUUGUAAAGCACUUUCAGCGGGGAGGAAGGCGUUAAGGUUAAUAACCUUGUCGAUUGACGUUACCCGCAGAAGAAGCACCGGCUAACUCCGUGCCAGCAGCCGCGGUAAUACGGAGGGUGCAAGCGUUAAUCGGAAUUACUGGGCGUAAAGCGCACGCAGGCGGUCUGUCAAGUCGGAGGUGAAAGCCCCGGGCUCAACCGGGGAACUGCAUUCGAAACUGGCAGGCUAGAGUCUUGGAGAGGGGGGUAGAAUUCCAGGUGUAGCGGUGAAAUGCGUAGAGAGCUGGAGGAAUACCGGGGGCGAAGGCGGCCCCCUGGACAAAGACUGACGCUCAGGUGCGAAAGCGUGGGGAGCAAACAGGAUUAGAUACCCGGGUAGUC